rnacentral:lncRNA from 1 species
AGGAAUUGGGGGCCCAGCCCCUCUCCCCUUUCUCAGGGCUUGGGGCGGAACCUGGACGUUGAGGCGGAGAUGAGGGGCGAAUUUGAAAAAUCAUUUUGCUACCCACCAUAAAGGAAUGUUAAUGAAUUGCUCUACUGAGGCCCUGAGAGAGAUAAGCACAGGAAUAAUAGGUUUCCAUGGCUUCCCUGAUGGCUCAGAAGUUAAAGCAUCUGCCCGCAAUGUGGAGACCUGGGUUCGAUCCCUGGGUCCGAUCCCUGGGUCGGGAAGACCCCCUGGAGAAGGAAAUGGCAACUCACUCCAGUAUUCUUGCCUGGAGAAUUCCACAGACAGAGGAGUCUGGCGGGCUACAGUCUAUGGGGUCGCAAAGAGUCAGACACAACUGAGUGACUUCACUUCGUAUUAAUGACCAAGAUUUAUUUACAAAGAUAAAUAAUUUACUUUAAAAUGUAUUGCCUACUAAGUACAUAAUAAAUAUCACUUAUUGAGUGUUUAGUAUGUGUCAAGUUAUAUAUUUUUAAUGUAUCAAUAAAUCUAAUCUAUUAUGUACAUUUGGUCAUCAGAACAAUGUUUUAAGAUGGAUAUUUUUGUUUUAACUAGGAAAUUGAAGUUCAGAGAGGCUCAGUAGCUUGCUCAUGAUUACACUGCUAAAUUUAAAAUAUAUUUAAAUUUAUCAUUUCUUACUUGUAAGCUUGGAAACGUGAUAGUACACUCCAUUGGUCAGGCACUAGCGAAAAAGGAACUUUCAUCCAUUGCUGGUGGGAUUGCAAAAUUUUAUAACCAUUAUGAAGGAAAAUUUGGCAACAUCUAAUAAAACUAUUUGCUUUAACCCCAAUAAAUUUCACUCCUAGUAAUUUACCCUUAAUAUACAUCUCCACAAAUUCAAACAGGAUAUGUACAAGCUUAUUCAUUGUGGCAUUAUUUGUAAUAGCAAAAUACUCUAACACCCAAAUGCCCAUCCGUCAAAGACUGGUUAAAUAAACAAUGGAGUGACAGUAGCUAUGAAAACAUGAGAAAGAUCUCUAAAAAAAUUGAUAUGGAAUCAUUUCUAGCAUAUAAUAUUAAGUGAAAAUAAGCAAGAGAAAAAUGUAUAUGGUAUGUUACAUUCUGUGCAAGAAAGAAGGUGAUCUGAGGAUAUAUACAAACAUCUAUCUAUCUGUGUAUCUAUCUAUCUAUCUAACUAUGGUGGGGAAAAGGCAGAAGAGAUUUGGAGAGAGACUUUAUUGACUACAGCUUUUUAUAUAUUUUUUUACUUAUCAAACAUGUUAAUGUUAUAUAUUUUUCAAAAUAAAACUAAACUAAAUGUGUGAAAAAUCAAGCACUAAAAUAAAAUACAAACAAAUGGCUUUAGCAGUGUGUUCAAUUAAAA